GCUAAUGGUGUUUUGUCCAUUGGAUUGAUGUAUAGAUGGCUCCAAGUCCCUGCUCUUGCUGGGAGAACCUACUUUGUUUUGCUAUGAUCAGAUGCAAUAUUUAGACUUUUCUGAUGC